CCCUUAGAUGUUCUGGGCCGCACGCGCGCUACACUGAUACAUGCAACGAGUUUAUAACCUUGAUCUGACGGUCUGGGUAAUCUUCAAACUGUAUCGUGUUAGGGAUCGAUUCUUGCAAUUUUUAAUCGUAAACGAGGAAUUCCUAGUAAACGCAAGUCAUCAGCUUGCAUUGAUUACGUCCCUGCCCUUUGUACACACCGCCCGUCGACUCUACCGAUUGAAUGGUUCGGUGAAAACUUUGGACUGUGGUAUUGUCCUUCAUUGGACUUCGCCGUAGGAAAUUGUUUAAACCUCAUCAUUUAGAGGAAGAAUAAGUCGUAACA
rnacentral:rRNA from 1 species